GCAUGCAGGUGAGAAGGGAAGAUACGUGUAAUCUGCAUGUCUGCCAACAUUCCUUGUUACCCUUUUUCAUAUCCCAUGAACACAGCACUCCAGCGGACCUACCCAAAAUAUGUGGGAGUUCAGUGAAACUCAAACAGCAUGCUUCUGGUCAGCCUAUACAGUCUCUGUCCUGGUGAGGAGCAUGAUCACCAACAGGCAAGAUCUUCUGGCCUCGAAGUUUCGCUUGAGCUAAAAGAGCUCAUCUCAGGACUUUCUGAAUUUUCAGCCCAUAUGACAUGGAAGAAGAGUUAGAAGGGGAAUCUGACUGCUUGGAUCAGGGACUGUCUGGCUAGUGGAACUUGAAUAGAUGUACAGUGCACCACUUUGAGGAUCAAGUCUGACCCUGCCUUUAAAUUUGGAUUCAAAGUACUUAGAUUUUCUGGAAUCCCAUUCUACAAUCUUCUGGUCGAAAGUAUAAAACCAGCAUUGGCCAGCUUGAGAAAUAAAGGGACAGAGUACAAAAGAGAGAAAUUUUAAAGCUGAGCAUCUGGGGGAGACAUCACAUGUUGUCUGCAGGUGUACCCAACAGCUCCGAAGAGACAGUGACAUCAAGAACGGGCCAUGAUGAUGAUGGCGGUUUUGU
rnacentral:antisense_RNA from 1 species